CCUACGGGUGGCUGCAGUGAGGAAUAUUGGUCAAUGGACGAGAGUCUGAACCAGCCAAGUAGCGUGAAGGAUGACUGCCCUAUGGGUUGUAAACUUCUUUUAUAUGGGAAUAAAAUGUUCCACGUGUGGGAUUUUGUAUGUACCAUAUGAAUAAGGAUCGGCUAACUCCGUGCCAGCAGCCGCGGUAAUACGGAGGAUCCGAGCGUUAUCCGGCUUUAUUGGGUUUAAAGGGAGCGUAGAUGGAUUGUUAAGUCAGUUGUGAAAGUUUGCGGCUCAACCGUAAAAUUGCAGUUGAUACUGGCAGUCUUGAGUACAGUAGAGGUGGGCGGAAUUCGUGGUGUAGCGGUGAAAUGCUUAGAUAUCACGAAGAACUCCGAUUGCGAAGGCAGUUCACUGGACUGCAACUGACACUGAUGCUCGAAAGUGUGGGUAUCAAACAGGAUUAGAUACCCGUGUAGUC
rnacentral:rRNA from 1 species